rnacentral:lncRNA from 1 species
AGUCACAGCCUCAGCCGCAGCGGCCGUGCUACCUAGGUGAUAGCGGAGCGGCUGGGUAGGAAGCAAUUGUUCUCAAACUUCACUAGCCCCGUCGGCGCGGACGCUUGUCGAGAAUGCAGAUUCCUGGGUACUGCCAGAUACGGUUGGUGAUCUUGUAGGGCUGGAGUGGAAGCCAUGAAUCUGCAUUUUCAUCAUUUCUGGCCCUCUGCCCGGGCUGGGGUGAUUCACGGGGAUUCGUAGUGGCCCCAAAGGAGCACGCAGAACCUCGGCUGCUGUGCAUUUAUCACCUCUUUUGUUCCCGGAGGCCGCACCCCAGGUCCAGUUUACACAGCUGCCAACUCCUUUUCUUGGUUCCCACUGGAAUCUAGGAAGAAAACUCGCCCUUUACUUCUCCGCCCCACACCCGACGACGGAGUGUCUAGAGGUCUGGUCGGCCUUGGCUGUGCGGAGGGCUAGGCCUGACGAGCGGGCGCUGAUGCGGCGCAGACCCCGCCGGACCUCUUGGUCGGCCCGGGGUAGGCUGGGGAGCCGCGGGAACAGGACUGGAUAGGGAAAGCGGCACCGCAGCGUCCACGGGCAAGCUGAAAGUCCGCUUGAUGUCUUUGCAUCACAGUGGCGCCCUCCCCGCAGGAACGCCCGGCCGCCUGCACCGAACGUUUGCCUGCAGGGAACGGCCAACCCGCCCUGAAAUACUCUUUUUGUGGGCUGCAGCUUUCGGGUAUUUUAAGCCAUGGUUCUGUGCCCUUCCUUGUUUUCAAAAACACCACAGCCAAAGGCUGCGGGUUGUGUGCUUUCAUUUUGUGUUAAGUUCUGUGGUGGAGACCUGGAGUCUGUUUUUCCAAAUAGGCACCUUGAAAUAGAUACGCUUCUUAAGCGGGGAAAGUACGAGUAGGUCCUAUUAUUUGCAAUGUUUUAGCCUUUCCAGACUCCGUACAAAUGACUAAAUGAAGAUUGGAUCGUAUUUUCAGGCACUGCACCAAUGAUAGAAAAUUCUCAACUUGGGGUCAAAAGCAAGGGCAGCUUUCGUUUUUCUUAAAUAUGCUUCUGAUCAAAUAUCUAAAGUGUUGAAAGAAACCUAACCCUUAAUAGCACAAUUUACAGGAGUGCAUAAUUUCCUAGGACUGACAUUUAGUUCCAAAUGUUUUAAAGUCAAUUACAACAUCAUCUCACCCUAUAGUAAGCUGUCCAUAUAUUCUCAUUAUUAUUUUUAAAUUAUUUCUAUUAAAUCAGCUUCAUUUGAACUUUAA